AUGAACGCUGGCGGCGUGCCUAAUACAUGCCCGUCGAGCGAACAGACGAGGAGCUUGCUCCUCUGACGUUAGCGGCGGACGGGUGAGUAACACGUGGAUAACCUACCUAUAAGACUGGGAUAACUUCGGGAAACCGGAGCUAAUACCGGAUAAUAUAUUGAACCGCAUGGUUCAAUAGUGAAAGACGGUUUUGCUGUCACUUAUAGAUGGAUCCGCGCCGCAUUAGCUAGUUGGUAAGAUAACGGCUUACCAAGGCAACGAUGCGUAGCCGACCUGAGAGGGUGAUCGGCCACACUGGAACUGAGACACGGUCCAGACUCCUACGGGAGGCAGCAGUAGGGAAUCUUCCGCAAUGGGCGAAAGCCUGACGGAGCAACGCCGCGUGAGUGAUGAAGGUCUUCGGAUCGUAAAACUCUGUUAUUAGGGAAGAACAAAUGUGUAAGUAACUAUGCACGUCUUGACGGUACCUAAUCAGAAAGCCACGGCUAACUACGUG
rnacentral:rRNA from 1 species